rnacentral:rRNA from 1 species
GUAGGUGGCAAGCGUUGUCCGGAAUUAUUGGGCGUAAAGCGCGCGCAGGUGGUUCUUUAAGUCUGAUGUGAAAGCCCCCGGGCUCAACCGGGGAGGGUCAUUGGAAACUGGGGAACUUGAGUGCAGGAGAGGAAAGUGGAAUUCCACGUGUAGCGGUGAAAUGCGUAGAUAUGUGGAGGAACACCAGUGGCGAAGGCGACUUUCUGGCCUGUAACUGACACUGAGGCGCGAAAGCGUGGGGAGCAAACAGGAUUAGAUACCCUGGUAGUCCGCGCCGUAAACGAUGAGUGCUAAGUGUUGGGGGGUUUCCGCCCCUCAGUGCUGCAGCUAACGCAUUAAGCACUCCGCCUGGGGAGUACGGUCGCAAAGACUG